GAUGAAGAACGCAGCGAAAUGCGAUAAGUAGUGUGAAUUGCUGAAUUCAGUGAAUCAUCGAAUCUUUGAACGCACAUUGCGCCCCUUGGUAUUCCAUGGGGCAUGCCUGUUCGAGCGUCAUUUGUACCUUCAAGCUUUGCUUGGUGUUGGGUGUUUGUCUCGCCUUUGCGUGUAGACUCGCCUUAAAAUAAUUGGCAGCCGGCGUAUUGAUUUCGGAGCGCAGUACAUCUCGCGCUUUGCACUCAUAACGACAGCGUCCAAAAGUACAUUUUACACUCUUGACCUCGGAUCAGGUAGGGAUACCCGCUGAACUUAAGCAUAUCAAUAAGCGGAGGA
rnacentral:misc_RNA from 1 species